AGGGGUGCGGAUAUACCCCCAGCGGGAGCGGGACUCGCGCAGACCUCUAGUGCAGAGCGCUGAGUGCAGUCUGUCAGAGCGCGUCCAGAUUACUUUCGGUUUCGUUUUCUCUGCCGCUGUUUCAAAGAGUGGUGAAUGAGCGUGCCUGAACACUAAACCACAUGUGCCACCUCUGUUCAUUUAAGAACCGUAUAAUGCUGGAUGAUAUAAAGUGACACAUCUUGAAGAUAUAAACCACUGAACAAGCAUCUGUCUCCUGUCACACUUCUUGCUGGAGCUCCGUAGUGGACUAGCAUUCCACCUACUAUAGAGAACAGAUUCCUUUUACAGAUAAGCAGUCUGGAGCAAGUUUCAUCAGGGUUUUUUCUAAGCUUGGUUCAUUACAGUGCUGUUGAUUACUCUAAAGAACAAAAUAUUCCUUUACCCAGAACAAC